CAGGUUGAUUUCCUCACCCUGGGAUCAGCAAGAAUGAAGGAACGAAGCUUCUGGUCUCCGGGGAUGGAGAGGUGCAAGAAGCUCUUUUCCACAGUUCUCCAUUCCUUGCCUGACUCAGGAAAUGCACCUGAUUUUGUGCUGGUUCCUACAGGAGCAUUUGCUGGAACAGGUGGUGGCUCAAUUUUUUGCUGCAAAUGGGAGAAGUUCAUAGAGACACUAAAUACCAGUUGUUUUCCAGCCAGCCUGGAGCUGCAGACUUGCAUAUACCAUCCAGACCUGGGAAACCAAGGAGGCUGUCAGUAAAGCUGUGCUGACUGCACCCUCCAGCAGGACCUGAGACAACAGCAAGGAUGGGAGCAGAAACCAGACCGAGCCGCGGGGAGACCUUGCACCUGGCUCCCUGCACGAAGCCUCUGAAGCUCACGUCCCCUCCCUCCUGUUUUCAUUUCCCACGUUCCACUCCCUCAGCCCCCUCUUUAAAAUCCCCUCAGUA